GGGGGGACGGAGAAGGCUAUGUUGGCCGGGCGACGGUUGUCCCGGUUUAAGCGUGUAGGCUGGUUUUCCAGGCAAAUCCGGAAAAUCAAGGCUGAGGCGUGAUGACGAGGCACUACGGUGCUGAAGCAACAAAUGCCCUGCUUCCAGGAAAAGCCUCUAAGCAUCAGGUAACAUCAAAUCGUACCCCAAACCGACACAGGUGGUCAGGUAGAGAAUACCAAGGCGCUUGAGAGAACUCGGGUGAAGGAACUAGGCAAAAUGGUGCCGUAACUUCGGGAGAAGGCACGCUGAUAUGUAGGUGAAGUCCCUUGCGGAUGGAGCUGAAAUCAGUCGAAGAUACCAGCUGGCUGCAACUGUUUAUUAAAAACACAGCACUGUGCAAACACGAAAGUGGACGUAUACGGUGUGACGCCUGCCCGGUGCCGGAAGGUUAAUUGAUGGGGUCAGCGCAAGCGAAGCUCUUGAUCGAAGCCCCGGUAAACGGCGGCCGUAACUAUAACGGUCCUAAGGUAGCGAAAUUCCUUGUCGGGUAAGUUCCGACCUGCACGAAUGGCGUAAUGAUGGCCAGGCUGUCUCCACCCGAGACUCAGUGAAAUUGAACUCGCUGUGAAGAUGCAGUGUACCCGCGGCAAGACGGAAAGACCCCGUGAACCUUUACUAUAGCUUGACACUGAACAUUGAGCCUUGAUGUGUAGGAUAGGUGGGAGGCUUUGAAGUGUGGACGCCAGUCUGCAUGGAGCCGGCCUUGAAAUACCACCCUUUAAUGUUUGAUGUUCUAACGUGGACCCGUGAUCCGGGUUGCGGACAGUGUCUGGUGGGUAGUUUGACUGGGGCGGUCUCCUCCUAAAGAGUAACGGAGGAGCACGAAGGUUGGCUAAUCCUGGUCGGACAUCAGGAGGUUAGUGCAAUGGCAUAAGCCAGCUUGACUGCGAGCGUGACGGCGCGAGCAGGUGCGAAAGCAGGUCAUAGUGAUCCGGUGGUUCUGAAUGGAAGGGCCAUCGCUCAACGGAUAAAAGGUACUCCGGGGAUAACAGGCUGAUACCGCCCAAGAGUUCAUAUCGACGGCGGUGUUUGGCACCUCGAUGUCGGCUCAUCACAUCCUGGGGCUGAAGUAGGUCCCAAGGGUAUGGCUGUUCGCCAUUUAAAGUGGUACGCGAGCUGGGUUUAGAACGUCGUGAGACAGUUCGGUCCCUAUCUGCCGUGGGCGCUGGAGAACUGAGGGGGGCUGCUCCUAGUACGAGAGGACCGGAGUGGACGCAUCACUGGUGUUCGGGUUGUCAUGCCAAUGGCACUGCCCGGUAGCUAAAUGCGGAAGAGAUAAGUGCUGAAAGCAUCUAAGCACGAAACUUGCCCCGAGAUGAGUUCUCCCUGACCCUUUAAGGGUCCUGAAGGAACGUUGAAGACGACGACGUUGAUAGGCCGGGUGUGUAAGCGCAGCGAUGCGUUGAGCUAACCGGUACUAAUGAACCGUGAGG
rnacentral:rRNA from 2 species